GGGGAAUAUUGGACAAUGGGCGAAGGCCUGAUCCAGCCAUGCCGCGUGCAGGAAGACGGUCCUAUGGACUGUAAACUGCUUUUGUACGGGAAGAACCGGGGGCACGUGUGCCCUCCUGACGGUACCGUAAGAAUAAGGAUCGGCUAACUCCGUGCCAGCAGCCGCGGUAAUACGGAGGAUCCGAGCGUUAUCCGGAAUCAUUGGGUUUAAAGGGUCCGUAGGCGGGCCAUUAAGUCAGGGGUGAAAGUCUGCGGCUCAACCGUAGAAUUGCCCUUGAUACUGGUGGCCUUGAGUUAUGGUGAAGCAACCAGAAUAUGUGGUGUAGCGGUGAAAUGCAUAGAUAUCACAUGGAAUACCGAUUGCGAAGGCAGGUUGCUAACCAUAUACUGACGCUGAUGGACGAAAGCGUGGGUAGCGAAC
rnacentral:rRNA from 1 species